rnacentral:lncRNA from 1 species
GUAACAGCCGUCUCCACACCUGGACACAGCCCGGCUGCCAUCCGUGAAGGGAGCAGUGACAGUGUCGUGAACCAAGGAUCAUGAUUCUGCCCAGCUGUGUGCACCCAAAGCAAGACUGAAGUAAGAAGGACCAAGAGGAGCGCCUAAUACAGUUCUGUGCAAACUCCACUGCCAAGUUCACAUGGAGAAACAAAUACCCUCCCUUCAGUGGCGCGCUAACUAUCUAUGACGAACUCUACUCCAACCCAAACUCAUAUAGCUUUGUAGCACUUCAGAUAACGUAUUGCCAAGUUGAAAAGGAAUGGAGGUACUCCUUCAGGCUUCUCUAGCUUCGCCUGUGCUGUCAGGCCAACAUUUUCAACACAAGUAAGCAGGGACAGAUGGUGCCUGUUCCCUCCGUGACAGAUUCAUCCAGCAGUGUCAACGGCAUUUACCUUUUUGAAACAGAGAGAGAUGCUUCAUGACUAAAAGUUUCC